rnacentral:rRNA from 1 species
UGGGGAAUUUUGGACAAUGGGCGCAAGCCUGAUCCAGCCAUGCCGCGUGCGGGAAGAAGGCCUUCGGGUUGUAAACCGCUUUUGUCGGGGAAGAAAUGCUCCGGGAUAAUACCCUGGGGAGAUGACGGUACCCGAAGAAUAAGCACCGGCUAACUACGUGCCAGCAGCCGCGGUAAUACGUAGGGUGCAAGCGUUAAUCGGAAUUACUGGGCGUAAAGCGUGCGCAGGCGGUUGUGCAAGACAGAUGUGAAAUCCCCGGGCUCAACCUGGGAACUGCAUUUGUGACUGCACGGCUGGAGUGCGGCAGAGGGGGAUGGAAUUCCGCGUGUAGCAGUGAAAUGCGUAGAUAUGCGGAGGAACACCGAUGGCGAAGGCAAUCCCCUGGGCCUGCACUGACGCUCAUGCACGAAAGCGUGGGGAGCAAACA